rfam:Hymenolepis nana genome assembly, scaffold: HNAJ_scaffold0000423
GGGGUGCGCAAUAGACUUACCUCCACGUGGUGCAUCCUGGGCAACGUAUACCUAUACGGCAAAAAGUCUAU